CUUUUGCAUGCUGGGUGGGUGUGGGGGCUCAGGUUCCCUCUGGACCCCAUUGAUACUACAUUGCCAAGGGAACUGUAAAAUUAUUUCCUUUUGUCAGGCAGGGGAUGGAGAACAGCUUCCUACUUUGUCUGUUGCUACCACUCCAAAGUGAAAAUCAUAAUGCCUACUUUUGCCAGAUGGGAAAUAGAAGAUGAGCUCCUUCGUUGGUGCCAGUAAUACCAGCAGGCAAGAACAUCAGAGCACGGCUGCUUCUGUUCAGUGGAUAUGAAGUAGAUAAUCUGCUCCCCAAUGGACUCCACUGAAACCAUCCUGGUAUUUCAUUGCAGUUGGUGGUCCUGAUUGGAGGCUUCCGCAGCACUCUCUCCAGAGCAUAUGCGAAGAAAUUGAAGACCCAAGGAACUCAUCAUUGUGUUAUUCCCCACACCACAGGAUUUUUGCGCUUUCAAUGUGAUGAAGUUGAACACUAUAAGUGAGAGAUUGAAGAAAGCACAAGAAAGGCACAAGCAGCAUCUGAAGAAUACAGAGAACUUCACUUAGAAGUCAGAUGGAACUCAGAAUGAAAGAUCUUGAAUCUGAAGUCUCCAACAGGAAAACUUCUUGAGAAGUCUUUCAUUAUAUUGAAUUGGGAAAAUACAAGCACCUCUAUCAAUUAGAAUUGGAAGCUAGAAAAUACUUGUCAAACAAAAUUAAAAAUCUUCACAGAACUACUGAGAGACUAGCAGCAUUCAGUAGCAAUCUUUUUGUGGAGACAGGAGACCAGAACUUUCUUUACCACUCAUGGACAGUCCUAUAGUCACGUCCUGGUGGCAAUCUUAAUAAUGGUUUAGGUCUUCACAGAGAAUUUACUUCAAAAGAAUACUCAACGUUCUCUCUUUCCUGCCCAUGGACUUCACAUACCAGCAUGAAGAACAACUUGAGUGAGAACUCCAUGGAAUGCCAAACAUGGUGCCCAUGUCCCCUGAAGAUGUAAGAAGAGCAUCCCAAUCCAAAAUUUGAUUUCACCAAAGAAUCUAUUUCUGGAAAAUCUCAAAAUGUAUUCAACAAUGAAAAGCUAUGGUGCUGCUGGAUACUCUCCUGUGGAAGAGCUUCCUCUCUAGAUUCACUGAUGAGUCAAAUCUAAAUGAAGACAUUCUUU